GAAACGUGGUGCAGGUUGGACAUUGAGCAAUGAGUGUGCGUGGGCCAAGCUGCAGAAGGAGAAAGAAAUAAAGCAGGGAGAGAUGUCAGUGGUGACUCCCGCUAUAAAUUGUGGAAAUCGAGUGGGAUAAGAUCGUGGCUGAAUGUGACCUUUGCAUGAUCAAAGGGAACUCCCCUAUUCACAAGUGUCCCUCUGCACCCCUUCCCCCUGCCCACCUGCUGAUGCUCAUUCUCAAGGCUCAUGGUUAUAUAUAAUGCGCCCGUCCAUCAUGUUGGAGGGUGAAUGAUUCACACAAGACCAUGCUCAACAACUUCAUCGGAAGAAAGAAAAAUGAGACAGAGGAAGGAAAUUGAUGAAAACAAAAGAGAAGCAGUGAUCUCUGGCACUGUAAUUCAAUAGAUUAUUCACCAGGACUGCAGGGAAUUUGUAGAGAAUCAACUCUAUACUGGCAGAUAAGAGAUACAUCACGGAACUCUGUCCCUUCCUGCCACAUCGUCUAGAAAUCCCCGACAACCCCUAAUUUGAUCCUAACCUAAUCACGGAACAAUUUACAAUGACCAAUUCGUCUACUGGUACAUCUUUGGACUGUGGGAGGAAACCAGAGCACCUGCAUUCCAUGCAGAGGACAUACAGACUCCUUACAGAGGAUGCCAGCAUUGAACUCUGAACUCUGACAUCACAGGCGGUAAUAUCAUGCACUAACCACUACCCGACUGUGGCACCCUGCAGAGCGUGGUUGGAAUGAGAAUCAGUGCCUGAGCAGAUGAUGGAAGCAGAUGCUUUCACAACAUUUAAGAAGAACUUAAAAGGAAAUAUCAGAAUCAUGGAGACGUGUAGAGCAGAAGACAGCCUGCUGUGUCCAUAUGAACCAUUGUACCUUUCUUUACUCAUCCAAUUUGCCCGUACUAUUCAAGUGUCUGGGGUGGCUUAUUAAGGGUGUGGGUACAGUGCACAACAGGGCAUAAGAAAGUCAUAGAGCCAUAGAGAAGUACAGCACAGAAACAGGCCCUUCAGCCCAUCUAGUCCAUGCCAAAACCAUUUAAACUGCCUACUGCCAACGACCUGCACCUCCAUAUCCCUACUAUCCAUGUACCUAUCCAAACUUCUCUUAAAUGUUUAAAUCAAACUCCCCUGCACCACUUGUGCUGGCAGCUCAUUCCACACUCUCAUGACCCUCUGAGUGAAGAAGUUUCCCCUCGUGUCCCCCUUAAACUUCUCACCUUUCACCCUUAACCUAUGACCUCUGGUUGUAGUCCCACCCACCCUCAGUGGACCAAGCCAGCUUAUAUUUAUCCUAUCUAUAGCCCUCAUAAUUUUGUAUACCUCUAUCAAAUCUCCUCUCAAUCUUCUCUGUCCUAAAGAAUACAAUGUUAACCUAUUCAAUUUUUCCUUAUAAUUCAGGUCCUCCAGACCUGACAACAUCCUUGUAAACUUUCUCUGCAUUCUUUCAAACUUGUUUAUAUCUUUCCUGUAGGUCACUGACCAAAUUAGGUCACAAUACUCAGAAUACUCCAAACUAGGCCUCACCAAUGUCUUAUAAAACUUCAACAUAACAUCCCAUCUUCUGUACUCAGUACAUAGAUUUAUGAAGGCCAAUGUGCCAAAAGCUUUCUUUCCGAAUGUAUCUAUCUGUGACACCACGUUCAAUGAAUUAUGGACCUGUGUUCCCAGACCCCUUUGGUCUACCAUGCUCUUUAGUGCCCUACCGUUCACUGUGUAAGAUCAACCCUGGUUGGUCCUACUGAAGUACAACACCUCACACUUGUCUGCAUGAAAUUCCAUCUGCCAUUUUUCAGCCCAUUUUUUCCUACUGAUACUGAUCCCUCUACAAGCCAUGAUAGCUUUCCUCUCUGUCCAAUACAUCCCCAAUUUUGGUGUUAUCCACAAAUUUGCUGAUCUAGAUAACCACAUUAUCAUGCAGAUCAUUGAUCUAGAUAACAAACAACAAAGGACCCAGCAUUGAUCGCUGAAGCACACCACUAGUCACAAGCCUCCAGUCAGAGAGGCAAAUCUCUACCACCACUCUCUGGCUUCUCCCACAAAGACAAUGUCCAAUUCAACUUACUACCUCAUCCUGAAUGCUUAGUGACUGAAUCUUCUUGACCAGCCUCCGAUACGGAACCUUGUCAAAUGCUUUACUAAAGUUCAUGUAGACAACAUCCAUUGCCUUGCCUUCAUUCAUUUUCCUGGUAACUUCCUCAAAAAAAUCUCUAUAAGAUUGCUUAGAUCUGACCUACCACACACAAAGCCAUGCUAAAUAUACUUAAUCCGUCCAUGUCUAUCCAAAUAUAUCCAGUCCCUUAGAAUAUCUUCCAAUAAUUUUCCCAUAACUGAUGUCAGGCUCACUGACCUAUAAUUUCCUGGUUUCUGCUUACAGCCUAUUUUAAACAGCGAAACAACAUUGGCUAUCCUCCAAUCCUCUGGUACCUCUCCUGUCAUUAAGGGUGUUUUAAAUAUCUUUGCUGGGGUCCCAGCAAUUUCUUCAUUUGUCUCCCAUAGUGUCUGAGGGAACGCCUUGUCAGGCCCUGGGGAUUUAUCCACCCUGAUUUGCCUCAGGGUAGCAAACACCUCCUCUUCUGUAAUCUGUACAGGAUCAAUGAAGUUGAUGACACUUUCCCUCACUUCUAUAGACUCUGUAUCCAUCUCCUGAGUAAAUACAGAUGCAAAGAAUGCAUUUAAGGUCUCCCCCAUCUCUUCCAGCUCGAAACAUGGGUUACCAUUCCAGUCUUCCAGAGAACCAAUUUUGUCCCUAGCAAUCCUUUUGCUCUUAGAGGUGUACCACUACUUCAACUUUCCUGACUUCCUUAGGUCAAUAAAUUAUCAAACCUGCUGUUGGAGCAAACACACCUGAAACCAAAAUGCAGAGAUGCUAGAAGCACCCGAUAGAUCAAGCAGAAUCAAUGGGGAGUUCAAAAGAGACAAUGUCUCAGGACAGUUGCACUUGGUCAGAACUGAAGACAAGUGUGCUAAGUUGCAGAGAGAAGAGAGAUGUGGAGGAAAAUAGGAAUGCCUGGUAUAAGAUACGGAUCAGAUUUUCAAAGCAACACUCACUUGGAGUUAAGGAGGUUACCUGAAAUUAUUGAAUUCACUGUUCAGCCUUGAGUACUGCAUAAUGCCCGGAUGGUAGAUAGGUGCUGUCCCUCAAGUUUAUAUAAAGCAUUAUUAGAGCAGUUAGGAGGCUGAAAACAGAAAGGCCAGAGUAUGAGUGAGGAAGGGCAUAAUGAUAUCAGGGUGAUUGGCAGCUAGGUGUGAUCUUCACGGACUGAAUACAGGUGCCCUUGAAAACAGUCACCCAAUCAAUCUCCAUUCAGUUUCUUCAGUGUAGGGAUGACAAAAUGGCGGGCAUUGAAAGUAAGCUGCCCUAACCCUAGCUUUAGAUGAAGGCUCUCCUAUCCCAUGCUUGUGGAAUAGUAUCUGUCUUUUACAGCCACAGCAACUCAUCAAGUGUCAGCAGUAUGUCUGGUCUGCUGGCAGCUGGAGAGCUGUCUUGGUUUUGAAGGACUUUGGGUGUGUGUGGAUAGGAGGGAGGUUGCUGUUGUUGUUCUGUUACUUGUUGUGCUGUGUGUUGUUCUACCAAGCAUUGUGGGCAUGCUACGUUAGCACCAGAUUGUGUGGGCUGCCCCCAGCGCAGUGAUAAAUAAACUUGAACCUUGAAUCAGAAUUUCACCUAUUAUGCCCAAUUUCAGACCUUCUCCAAGCUCAUCUUUGGAUUCACCCUUUAAGUAAUGAAGCAAAGAUCAUGUCAUCUUGAGGUGUUGCUGUUAAUUGAGUGGAAGACCCAGCAGGUAAAUGACAGUAAGGUGCCCAUGUUAAAAAGCCAUAGGCAGAUAUGCUAAACCAACAAUACAUCCAGUAUUGUAAGGAAAACACCCUACUCCUCUCCCUCCACUUGUAGUAUGCAACAAAGUCAUAUCAGGCCAUUUUAUCCAGUCAUAUGCAUGAAUUAAAUAAACAGUGUGACUUUGCAGACCUCAUGUGUAAAAUAAAUCGCUGUUAAGAUGCAGCCAACCAUUAAUUAUUACUAAUAAUUGUAGUAUAAAUGAAGGGAAAUGAAAUACAUUGAAAACCCAAUUAACAUGUUUUCUACAGUUCCUGAAGGUAGCUGGUCAUGGGGAGAAAUUGCUAAAAGUAAGAAGUACGAAUCAGAUUGACAGGGUAAAUAUACUUAUGAAUGCAAAUUUAAAGGCAAAGAAUGAUUCAUCUUUAAAAAAUGUCAAUGCUUCUUCAAGUACAUGUUUUUGAGCAUGUUUGAGCAAUCAUAGGAUGGUCCUAGUAAGGUGUGUUAAACUCUCCAUGACAGACAAGCCAGGAACAAUGUAUAGGGCCUGUCACUUCAUAAUUUAUAAGUCUUUAUACCAUUGGAUUGGCUUUGCUCCAGGAAAGGCAGAGAUAUGUGGAAAACUAUCGCAGAGCAUGGGAAGGCAGUGAGGUAAA